rnacentral:rRNA from 1 species
AUUGAACGCUGGCGGCAGGCCUAACACAUGCAAGUCGAGCGGAUGAAGGGAGCUUGCUCCUGGAUUCAGCGGCGGACGGGUGAGUAAUGCCUAGGAAUCUGCCUGGUAUUGGGGGAUAACGUCCGGAAACGGGCGCUAAUACCGCAUACGUCCUGAGGGAGAAAGUGGGGGAUCUUCGGACCGCACGCUAUCAGAUGAGCCUAGGUCGGAUUAGCUAGUUGGUGGGGUAAAGGCCUACCAAGGCGACGAUCCGUAACUGGUCUGAGAGGAUGAUCAGUCACACUGGAACUGAGACACGGUCCAGACUCCUAAGGGAGGCAGCAGUGGGGAAUAUUGGACAAUGGGCGAAAGCCUGAUCCAGCCAUGCCGCGUGUGUGAAGAAGGUCUUCGGAUUGUAAAGCACUUUAAGUUGGGAGGAAGGGCAGUAAGUUAAUACCUUGCUGUUUUGACGUUACCAACAGAAUAAGCACCGGCUAACUUCGUG